AGAUAGAUAAAUCUGUGUCAGCAACUUUCA
rnacentral:piRNA from 1 species